rnacentral:rRNA from 1 species
GACGAACGCUGGCGGCGUGCUUAACACAUGCAAGUCGAGCGGUAGGGCUCCUUCGGGAGUACACGAGCGGCGAACGGGUGAGUAACACGUGAGUAAUCUGCCCUUCACUUCGGGAUAACCACCGGAAACGGUGGCUAAUACCGAAUACGACCAGUCUUCGCAUGAGGUGCUGGUGGAAAGUCUUUUCGGUGAAGGAUGUGCUCGCGGCCUAUCAGCUUGUUGGUGGGGUAAUGGCCUACCAAGGCUUCGACGGGUAGCCGGCCUGAGAGGGUGACCGGCCACACUGGGACUGAGACACGGCCCAGACUCCUACGGGAGGCAGCAGUGGGGAAUAUUGGACAAUGGGCGAAAGCCUGAUCCAGCAACGCCGCGUGAGGGAUGACGGCCUUCGGGUUGUAAACCUCUUUCAGUACCGACGAAGCGCCCUGUCGGGUGGUGACGGUAGGUACAGAAGAAGGACCGGCCAACUACGUG